AGUGAACGCUGGCGGUAGGCCUAACACAUGCAAGUCGAACGGCAGCACAGUAAGAGCUUGCUCUUACGGGUGGCGAGUGGCGGACGGGUGAGGAAUACAUCGGAAUCUACUUUUUCGUGGGGGAUCACGUAGGGAAACUUACGCUAAUACCGCAUACGACCUACGGGUGAAAGCAGGGGAUCUUCGGACCUUGCGCGAUUGAAUGAGCCGAUGUCGGAUUAGCUAGUUGGCGGGGUAAAGGCCCACCAAGGCGACGAUCCGUAGCUGGUCUGAGAGGAUGAUCGGCCACACUGGAACGUAGACACGGUCCAGACUCCUACGGGAGGCAGCAGUGGGGAAUAUUGGACAAUGGGCGCAAGCCUGAUCCAGCCAUACCGCGUGUGUGAAGAAGGCCUUCGGGUUGUAAAGCCCUUUUUUUGGGAAAGAAAAGCAGCAGGUUAAUACCCCGCUGUUCUGACGGUACCCAAAGAAUAAGCACCGGCUAACUUCGUG
rnacentral:rRNA from 1 species